rnacentral:rRNA from 1 species
GACGAACGCUGGCGGCGUGCUUAACACAUGCAAGUCGAACGGAAAGGCCCUGCUUUUGUGGGGUGCUCGAGUGGCGAACGGGUGAGUAACACGUGAGUAACCUGCCCUUGACUUUGGGAUAACUUCAGGAAACUGGGGCUAAUACCGGAUAGGAGCUCCUGCUGCAUGGUGGGGGUUGGAAAGUUUCGGCGGUUGGGGAUGGACUCGCGGCUUAUCAGCUUGUUGGUGGGGUAGUGGCUUACCAAGGCUUUGACGGGUAGCCGGCCUGAGAGGGUGACCGGCCACAUUGGGACUGAGAUACGGCCCAGACUCCUACGGGAGGCAGCAGUGGGGAAUAUUGCACAAUGGGCGGAAGCCUGAUGCAGCAACGCCGCGUGCGGGAUGACGGCCUUCGGGUUGUAAACCGCUUUCGCCUGUGACGAAGCGUGAGUGACGGUAAUGGGUAAAGAAGCACCGGCUAACUACGUGCCAGCAGCCGCGGUGAUACGUAGGGUGCGAGCGUUGUCCGGAUUUAUUGGGCGUAAAGGGCUCGUAGGUGGUUGAUCGCGUCGGAAGUGUAAUCUUGGGGCUUAACCCUGAGCGUGCUUUCGAUACGGGUUGACUUGAGGAAGGUAGGGGAGAAUGGAAUUCCUGGUGGAGCGGUGGAAUGCGCAGAUAUCAGGAGGAACACCAGUGGCGAAGGCGGUUCUCUGGGCCUUUCCUGACGCUGAGGAGCGAAAGCGUGGGGAGCGAACAGGCUUAGAUACCCUGGUAGUCCACGCUGUAAACGGUGGGUACUAGGUGUGGGGUCCAUUCCACGGGUUCCGUGCCGUAGCUAACGCUUUAAGUACCCCGCCUGGGGAGUACGGCCGCAAGGCUAAAACUCAAAGGAAUUGACGGGACCCCGCACAAGCGGCGGAGCAUGCGGAUUAAUUCGAUGCAACGCGUGGAACCUUACCUGGGUUUGACAUGGAUCGGGAGCGCUCAGAGAUGGGUGUGCCUCUUUUGGGGUCGGUUCACAGGUGGUGCAUGGCUGUCGUCAGCUCGUGUCGUGAGAUGUUGGGUUAGGUCCCGCAACGAGCGCAACCCUUGUUCACUGUUGCCAGCACGUUAUGGUGGGGACUCAGUGGAGACCGCCGGGGUCAACUCGGAGGAAGGUGGGGAUGACGUCAAGUCAUCAUGCCCCUUAUGUCCAGGGCUUCACGCAUGCUACAAUGGCUGGUACAGAGAGUGGCGAGCCUGUGAGGGUGAGCGAAUCUCGGAAAGCCGGUCUCAGUUCGGAUCGGGGUCUGCAACUCGACCUCAUGAAGUCGGAGUCGCUAGUAAUCGCAGAUCAGCAACGCUGCGGUGAAUACGUUCCCGGG